rnacentral:lncRNA from 1 species
ACGUUAAUUAAAAAAAAAAACCUAAUUAUGUUUCAUACAAAUGUAGUUCCGGCAACAUUCAUCUUCCCCCAAAAUGUAUUCACUGAUGCCACAUCCCCCCCUUCUUCCAGAUAUCACAAACCCAUCUGAGAGUGACUUUGAGGGAUAAUCGGCGUGGUCACGAUGGCAAGAGAGACCCUGAAUGAAGGCGUGACUGACCUUUUCUCUGGCAGCCUGUCUAACCACCCUGGGGUAUAUGAUGGCUGGAGGAUCGGCUUUAAUUGACGUGAUAGCACCCCUGAGGUCAGGCAAGAGUCGAGUUCUGUUGACCGUCUGUUUCAAGAAAUGCUGCAGCCUGACUACGGUCCAGUAUGACUGCAGUGUGUCCUUGGCUAUGCUGGGAACCUCUGAGAUGGUAUUGCAUGCAGUAGAUCUUGGAAAAUGCCCUCAUCAUUAAAAUUUAGAUUGAUAAAAAUAUAUACCUGAUUUUUUUUUUAACAAUGUACAAAUGCUUUGUUGGUUUGCAUGUUUUGGAUAGAUCCAGGUCAUGUCACAGCUGUGAUGAAACCUCAGAUACAAUUCUUCACCAUGGAUUGCAGGAUGAUCACUUCUAUUCUAG